CGAGGCAGCUUGACGCCAUUUUAUGUCGGAUUGCAGAGGAGCAGGGACAUUGCCACGCCACUCAUGCACAAAAUGUGUUGGCAACAGCAACAGACGUUGAAAAAAGACUACAGUUUCCUGACUUAAUUGUCUAAGGUGAAUCAGCGUUUGGAUGCUGAGCAUCGGGUGGUUGUGCCUCCACAUCCCAACUUCGUGGCUGGAAUGGCAGCUUUGUUUUCUAUCUACUACAACUUCAAUCUGGUGUACCAGGAGGAGCAAGUGCACACUGGAGUUCAU